GAUGAACGCUGGCGGCGUGCCUAAUACAUGCAAGUCGAGCGAACGGACGAGAAGCUUGCUUCUCUGAUGUUAGCGGCGGACGGGUGAGUAACACGUGGAUAACCUACCUAUAAGACUGGGAUAACUUCGGGAAACCGUAGCUAAUACCGGAUAAUAUUUUGAACCGCAUGGUUCAAAAGUGAAAGACGGUCUUGCUGUCACUUAUAGAUGGAUCCGCGCUGCAUUAGCUAGUUGGUAAGGUAACGGCUUACCAAGGCAACGAUGCAUAGCCGACCUGAGAGGGUGAUCGGCCACACUGGAACUGAGACACGGUCCAGACUCCUACGGGAGGCAGCAGUAGGGAAUCUUCCGCAAUGGGCGAAAGCCUGACGGAGCAACACCGCGUGAGUGAUGAAGGUCUUCGGAUCGUAAAACUCUGUUAUUAGGGAAGAACAUAUGUGUAAGUAACUGUGCACAUCUUGACGGUACCUAAUCAGAAAGCCACGGCUAACUACGUG
rnacentral:rRNA from 1 species